rnacentral:rRNA from 1 species
UACGUAGGGUGCGAGCGUUGUCCGGAAUUAUUGGGCGUAAAGAGCUUGUAGGCGGUUUGUCGCGUCUGCUGUGAAAAUCCGGGGCUCAACCCCGGACUUGCAGUGGGUACGGGCAGACUAGAGUGUGGUAGGGGGAGACUGGAAUUCCUGGUGUAGUGGUGAAAUGCGUAGAGAUCCGGAGGAACACCAGUGGCGAAGGCGACACGCUGGGCCGUACCUGACACUGAGGCGCGAUAGCAUGGGGAGCAAACAGG